rnacentral:snRNA from 1 species
CGAUGCGUCCUGGUCGGAUG